GACGAACGCUGGCGGCGUGCUUAACACAUGCAAGUCGAACGAAAAGGCCCUGCGUUUGUGGGGUUCUCGAUUGGCGAACGCGUGAGUAACACGUGAGUAACCUGCCCUUGACUUUGGGGUAACUUCAGGAAACUGGGGCUAAUACCGGAUAUGAGCUCCUGCUGCAUGGGGUGGGAUGGAAAGUUUCGGCGGUGGGGGAUGGACUGGCGGCUUAUGAGCUGGUUGGUGGAGUAGUGGCUUACCAAGGCUUUGACGGGUAGCCGGCCUGAGAGGGUGAACGGGCACAUUGGGCCUGAGAUAGGGCGCAGAAGCGUAUGGGAGGCAGCAGUGGGGAAUAUUGCACAAUGGCGGGAAGUCUGAGGAAGAAACGCCGCGUGCGGGAUGCCGGCCUUCGGGUUGUAAACAGAUUUCGACUGUGCCGAAGAGUGAGUGACGGUACUGGGUAAAGAAGCACCGGCUAACUACGUG
rnacentral:rRNA from 1 species